rnacentral:rRNA from 1 species
GAUGAACGCUGGCGGCGUGCUUAACACAUGCAAGUCGAACGGAAAGGCCCUGCUUUUGUGGGGUGCUCGAGUGGCGAACGGGUGAGUAACACGUGAGUAACCUGUCCUUGACUUUGGGAUAACUUCAGGAAACUGGGGCUAAUAUCGGAUAGGAGCUCUUGCUGCACGGUGGGGGUUGGAAAGUUUCGGCGGUUGGGGCUGGUCUCGCGGCUUAUCGGCUUGUUGGUGGGGUAGUGGCUUACCAAGGCUUUGAAGGGUAGGCGGCCUGGGAGGGUGACCGGCCACAUUGGGACUGAGGUACGGCCCAGUCGGCAACGGGAGGCAGCGGUGGGGAGUAUGACGCAAUAGGCGGAAGCCAGAUGCGGCAGCGCCGCGUGCGGGAUGACGGCCUUCGGGUUGUAAACCGCUGUCGCCUGUGACGAAGCGUGAGUGACGGUAAUGGGUAAAGAAGCACCGGCUAACUACGUG